UAAUGUAAUUUAUUACUUCAGUUAAUUUUAACUAUGUUAUCGUCUAUGACGGUACAAGGAUACACAACAGUUAAUUAUAAUGAUUUGUGUUGAAAGUUGCAUUAAUAUUACAGUAGCUGUUAAUGUAUAAUGUACUUUACAUCAAUCCCACUGACAAAAGACCUGCACUUCUAGAUGUGUGCUGAUACAAGCACAAAGAGAACAGUGUUCAGUACUCCUGGCCAGAAGAUCAAGACCAGGACCAAGUCCCCACAGUCACCUCCUAAUGCUUCAAAAGACCUGCACACCAUCUCAACACUUCUAGAUGUGUGCUGAUACAAGCACAAAGAGAACAGUGUUCAGUAAUCCUGGCCAGAAGAUCAAGACCAGGACCAAGUCCCCACAGUCACCUCCUAAUGCUUCAAAAGACAUGCACACCAUCUCAACACUUCUAGAUGUGUGCUGAUACAAGCACAAAGAGAACAGUGUUCAGUACUCCUGGCCAGAAGAUCAAGACCAGGACCAAGUCCCCACAGUCACCUCCUAAUGCUUCAAAAGACAUGCACACCAUCUCAACACUUCUAGAUGUGUGCUGAUACAAGCACAAAGAGAACAGUGUUCAGUACUCCUGGCCAGAAGAUCAAGACCAGGACCAAGUCCCCACAGUCACCUCCUAAUGCUUCAAAAGACAUGCACACCAUCUCAACACUUCUAGAUGUGUGCUGAUACAAGCACAAAGAGAACAGUGUUCAGUACUCCUGGCCAGAAGAUCAAGACCAGGACCAAGUCCCCACAGUCACCUCCUAAUGCUUCAAAAGACAUGCACACCAUCUCAACACUUCUAGAUGUGUGCUGAUACAAGCACAAAGAGAACAGUGUUCAGUACUCCUGGCCAGAAGAUCAAGACCAGGACCAAGUCCCCACAGUCACCUCCUAAUGCUUCAAAAGACCUGCACACCAUCUCAACACUUCUAGAUGUGUGCUGAUACAAGCACAAAGAGAACAGUGUUCAGUACUCCUGGCCAGAAGAUCAAGACCAGGACCAAGUCCCCACAGUCACCCCCUAAUGCUUCAAAAGAGCUGCACAACAUAUCAAACACUGAUUUAAAAUCAGGUGGCCUAAGCAAUAGUGAUGAAUGAGAAGAUUAUAUUGAAGGCAACAACCCAGGGUUCACUCAAAAAUGUUUUUAAAUUCAGUCUUUCAGAAAAAGGAAGUUUUCUACUCUCUUCUACUAACAGUAGUGACAUUUAAAUGCAAUGAAAGUAAAAAGAUUGACAAUAAUACAUUGUUAACAAACAAACCACAAAUGACUAUACAAUAUAGUACAUUUAUUGGAGGUGUUGCCACCACUGACCAGAUGCUUUAUUGAAUUUAAGGCUGCUAUCAAACUGGAAAAAGAUUACAUUGUAUAGCUUUGAGCGAAAUUGCAGUGUAUGUAAACCAGCAAGCACAAACCAAAGAGAAAGUAGGACAAAUACAAUGUGUAUUUCAGAACGGUGACAACAGAGUCUAUCUCCUGUGCUUGAUUAAACAUUUUUUUCUUUGCUAAUACAUAAAUGUGUUAUCUUCUUUGUGUAUAUUAUUCUUCCAUAUAUAGUUUUCAUAGUAAAAAUGUACUGUUUUA
rnacentral:lncRNA from 1 species